CCAGCACCCGCGGUAAUAGUUUGUUCCCAAGGUUUUCGGGAAUUAUUGGGCGUAAAGCGACGCCAACGGUUGUUUAAUUCUGAAGUGAAAGCCCACACAGUUUAACUGUGGAAAGUGCUUUGGAAACUUGGAUAACUUGAGUGCAGUAGAAGGAGAGUGGAACUCCAUGUGUAGCGGUGAAAUGCGUAGAUAUAUGGAAGAACACCAGUGGCGAAGGCGGCUCUCUGGACUGUAACUGACGUUGAGGCUCGAAAGUGUGGGUAGCAAACAGGAUUAGAUACCCUGGUAGUCCACACCGUAAACGAUGAGUGCUAGAUGUUUGAGGGUUUCCGCCCUUAAGUGUCGCAGCUAACGCAUUAAGCACUCCGCCUGGGGAGUACGACCGCAAGGUUGAAACUCAAAGGAAUUGACGGGGACCCGCACAAGCGGUGGAGCAUGUGGUUUAAUUCGAAGCAACGCGAAGAACCUUACCAGCUCUUGACAUCCUUUGACCACUUCAGAGAUGAAGCUUUCCCUUCGGGGACAAAGUGACAGGUGGUGCAUGGUUGUCGUCAGCUCGUGUCGUGAGAUGUUGGGUUAAGUCCCGCAACGAGCGCAACCCUUAUUACUAGUUGCCAGCAUUUAGUUGGGCACUCUAGUGAGACUGCCGGUGACAAACCGGAGGAAGGUGGGGAUGACGUCAAAUCAUCAUGCCCCUUAUGAGCUGGGCUACACACGUGCUACAAUGGCAAGUACAACGAGCAGCUAACCCGCGAGGGUACGCGAAUCUCUUAAAACUUGUCUCAGUUCGGAUUGUAGGCUGCAACUCGCCUACAUGAAGUCGGAAUCGCUAGUAAUCGCAGAUCAGCACGCCGCGGUGAAUACGUUCCCGGGCCUUGUACACACCGCCC
rnacentral:rRNA from 1 species